UACAGAGGUCCCGAGCGUUGUUCGGAUUUACUGGGCGUAAAGGGUGCGUAGGCGGUGGGUAAGUUGAGGUGAAAGCUCCGGGCUCAACCCGGAAAUGCCUUGAAACUAUCCGGCUAGAGGGUUGGAGGGGAGACUGGAAUUCUCGGUGUAGCAGUGAAAUGCGUAGAUCUCGAGAGGAACACCAGUGGCGAAGGCGGGUCUCUGGACAACACCUGACGCUGAGGCACGAAGCCAGGGAGCAAACGGG
rnacentral:rRNA from 1 species